GAUGAAGAACGCAGCGAAAUGCGAUAAGUAGUGUGAAUUGCAGAAUUCAGUGAAUCAUCGAACCUUUGAACGCACAUUGCGCCCCUUGGUAUUCCAUGGGGCAUGCCUGUUCGAGCGUCAUUUGUACCUUCAAGCUUUGCUUGGUGUUGGGUGUUUGUCCUGAGGGACUCGCCUUAAAGUAAUUGGCAGCCAGUGUUUGGUUUUGAAGCGCAGCACAAGUCGCGAUUCAAAGCUAUACGCCCGCUUCCACAAGCCUUUUUCACUUUUGACCUCGGAUCAGGUAGGGAUACCCGCUGAACUUAAGCAUAUCAAUAAGCGGAGGA
rnacentral:misc_RNA from 1 species